GUGGGGAAUAUUGGACAAUGGGCGAAAGCCUGAUCCAGCAGUGCCGCGUGAGUGAUGAAGGCCCUAGGGUUGUAAAGCUCUUUUACCCGGGAUGAUAAUGACAGUACCGGGAGAAUAAGCUCCGGCUAACUUCGUGCCAGCAGCCGCGGUAAUACGAGGGGAGCUAGCGUUGUUCGGAAUUACUGGGCGUAAAGCGUGCGCAGGCGGCUCAGCAAGUCAGGGGUGAAAUCCCGGGGCUCAACCCCGGAACUGCCUUUGAAACUGCUAGGCUAGAAUCCUGGAGAGGCGAGUGGAAUUCCGAGUGUAGAGGUGAAAUUCGUAGAUAUUCGGAAGAACACCAGUGGCGAAGGCGACUCGCUGGACAGGUAUUGACGCUGAGGUGCGAAAGCGUGGGGAGCAAACAGGAUUAGAAACCCGGGUAGUCC
rnacentral:rRNA from 1 species